AUACCUUAUUUUUUUUUAAUUUUAAAUUGGGCCAGGAAAAUAACUGGGAGUAGUAAUUAGCUAUAGUCUUGAAAAUUUAAAAAAAUUUUGGCGGUAUUAUAGUUUAUUUAGGAGGGAAUUUUGUUUUGUAAUCGAUAAUUCCGCGUUGAACCUUACCUUGAAUUAGUUUAUUUGUAUACCGCUGUUUGGAAGGUAUUUUUAGAUUAAUAUUUCUGGAUUCUUUGAACAUUGAGGAUUACUUCAAGUCAAGGUGCAGUAUAUUUAAGUUUAAUAAUGGAUUACAAUAAAUUUUAUUUAUUAUGGAUUAAGGUUUAAAUGUUACUAAUAUGAAGGUGGAUUUAAUUGUAAUUUAUGAGUUCAGGAGACACUCAGGACGA
rnacentral:rRNA from 1 species